CCUGGCUCAGGAUGAACGCUAGCUACAGGCUUAACACAUGCAAGUCGAGGGGCAUCAGGGUGUAGCAAUACACCGCUGGCGACCGGCGCACGGGUGAGUAACACGUAUCCAACCUGCCCUUUACUCGGGGAUAGCCUUUCGAAAGAAAGAUUAAUACCCGAUGGCAUAACAUGACCUCCUGGUUUUGUUAUUAAAGAAUUUCGGUAGAGGAUGGGGAUGCGUUCCAUUAGGCAGUUGGCGGGGUAACGGCCCACCAAACCUUCGAUGGAUAGGGGUUCUGAGAGGAAGGUCCCCCACAUUGGAACUGAGACACGGUCCAAACUCCUACGGGAGGCAGCAGUGAGGAAUAUUGGUCAAUGGGCGAGAGCCUGAACCAGCCAAGUAGCGUGAAGGAUGACCGCCCUAUGGGUUGUAAACUUCUUUUAUAUGGGAAUAAAGGGUGCCACGUGUGGCAUUUUGUAUGUACCAUAUGAAUAAGGAUCGGCUAACUCCGUGCCAGCAGCCGCGGUAAUACGGAGGAUCCGAGCGUUAUCCGGAUUUAUUGGGUUUAAAGGGAGCGUAGGUGGACAUGUAAGUCAGUUGUGAAAGUUUGCGGCUCAACCGUAAAAUUGCAGUUGAUACUGCGUGUCUUGAGUACAGUAGAGGUGGGCGGAAUUCGUGGUGUAGCGGUGAAAUGCUUAGAUAUCACGAAGAACUCCGAUUGCGAAGGCAGCUCACUGGACUGCAACUGACACUGAUGCUCGAAAGUGUGGGUAUCAAACAGGAUUAGAUACCCUGGUAGUCCACACAGUAAACGAUGAAUACUCGCUGUUUGCGAUAUACAGUAAGCGGCCAAGCGAAAGCAUUAAGUAUUCCACCUGGGGAGUACGCCGGCAACGGUGAAACUCAAAGGAAUUGACGGGGGCCCGCACAAGCGGAGGAACAUGUGGUUUAAUUCGAUGAUACGCGAGGAACCUUACCCGGGCUUAAAUUGCAAAUGAAUAUGCCGGAAACGGCAUAGCCGCAAGGCAUUUGUGAAGGUGCUGCAUGGUUGUCGUCAGCUCGUGCCGUGAGGUGUCGGCUUAAGUGCCAUAACGAGCGCAACCCUUAUCUUCAGUUACUAACAGGUCAUGCUGAGGACUCUGGAGAGACUGCCGUUGUAAGAUGUGAGGAAGGUGGGGAUGACGUCAAAUCAGCACGGCCCUUACGUCCGGGGCUACACACGUGUUACAAUGGGGGGUACAGAAGGCCGCUACACAGCGAUGUGAUGCCAAUCCCUAAAGCCCCUCUCAGUUCGGAUCGAAGUCUGCAACCCGACUUCGUGAAGCUGGAUUCGCUAGUAAUCGCGCAUCAGCCACGGCGCGGUGAAUACGUUCCCAAGGCUGUACACACCGCCCG
rnacentral:rRNA from 1 species